CUACGGGUCGCUCCAGUGGGGAAUAUUGGACAAUGGGGGAAACCCUGAUCCAGCAAUGCCGCGUGUGUGAAGAAGGCCUGCGGGUUGUAAAGCACUUUCGGUUGGGAGGACUGCUUCUAGCACUAAUAUUGUUGGAAGUUGACGUUACCUUCAGAAGAAGCACCGGCUAACUCCGUGCCAGCAGCCGCGGUAAUACGGGAGGGUGCAAGCGUUAAUCGGAAUUACUGGGCGUAAAGCGCGCGUAGGCGGCUAGAUCAGUCGGGUGUGAAAGCCCCGGGCUUAACCUGGGAACUGCAUCCGAUACUGGCUAGCUUGAGUACAGGAGAGGAGAGUGGAAUUCCACAUGUAGCGGUGAAAUGCGUAGAUAUGUGGAGGAACACCAAUGGCGAAGGCAGCUCUCUGGCCUGAUACUGACGCUGAGGUGCGAAAGCGUGGGGAGCAAACAGGAUUAGAUACCCCGGUAGUC
rnacentral:rRNA from 1 species